rnacentral:rRNA from 1 species
CCGCGGGAUUAGAGUUUGAUCAUGGCUCAGAUUGAACGCUGGCGGCAGGCCUAACACAUGCAAGUCGAGCGGAAACGACACUAACAAUCCUUCGGGUGCGUUAAUGGACGUCGAGCGGCGGACGGGUGAGUAAUGCCUAGGAAAUUGCCUUGAUGUGGGGGAUAACCAUUGGAAACGAUGGCUAAUACCGCAUAAUGCCUACGGGCCAAAGAGGGGGACCUUCGGGCCUCUCGCGUCAAGAUAUGCCUAGGUGGGAUUAGCUAGUUGGUGAGGUAAUGGCUCACCAAGGCGACGAUCCCUAGCUGGUCUGAGAGGAUGAUCAGCCACACUGGAACUGAGACACGGUCCAGACUCCUACGGGAGGCAGCAGUGGGGAAUAUUGCACAAUGGGCGAAAGCCUGAUGCAGCCAUGCCGCGUGUAUGAAGAAGGCCUUCGGGUUGUAAAGUACUUUCAGUUGUGAGGAAGGGGGUGGCGUUAAUAGCGCUGUCUCUUGACGUUAGCAACAGAAGAAGCACCGGCUAACUCCGUGCCAGCAGCCGCGGUAAUACGGAGGGUGCGAGCGUUAAUCGGAAUUACUGGGCGUAAAGCGCAUGCAGGUGGUUCAUUAAGUCAGAUGUGAAAGCCCGGGGCUCAACCUCGGAACUGCAUUUGAAACUGGUGAACUAGAGUACUGUAGAGGGGGGUAGAAUUUCA